AGCGAACGCUGGCGGCAGGCUUAACACAUGCAAGUCGAGCGGGCACUUUCGGGUGUCAGCGGCGGACGGGUGAGUAACGCGUGGGAACGUGCCCUCUGGUUCGGAAUAACUCAGGGAAACUUGAGCUAAUACCGGAUACGCCCUUUUGGGGAAAGGCUUGCUGCCGGAGGAUCGGCCCGCGUCUGAUUAGCUAGUUGGUGAGGUAACGGCUCACCAAGGCGACGAUCAGUAGCUGGUCUGAGAGGAUGAUCAGCCACACUGGGACUGAGACACGGCCCAGACUCCUACGGGAAGCAGCAGUGGGGAAUAUUGGACAAUGGGCGCAAGCCUGAUCCAGCCAUGACGCGUGAGUGAUGAAGGCCUUAGGGUUGUAAAGCUCUUUUAUCCGGGACGAUAAUGACGGUACCGGAGGAAUAAGCCCCGGCUAACUUCGUG
rnacentral:rRNA from 1 species